UUGAACGCUGGCGGCAGGCCUAACACAUGCAAGUCGAGCGGUAGCACAGAGAGCUUGCUCUCGGGUGACGAGCGGCGGACGGGUGAGUAAUGUCUGGGAAACUGCCUGAUGGAGGGGGAUAACUACUGGAAACGGUAGCUAAUACCGCAUAAUGUCGCAAGACCAAAGUGGGGGACCUUCGGGCCUCAUGCCAUCAGAUGUGCCCAGAUGGGAUUAGCUAGUAGGUGGGGUAACGGCUCACCUAGGCGACGAUCCCUAGCUGGUCUGAGAGGAUGACCAGCCACACUGGAACUGAGACACGGUCCAGACUCCUACGGGAGGCAGCAGUGGGGAAUAUUGCACAAUGGGCGCAAGCCUGAUGCAGCCAUGCCGCGUGUGUGAAGAAGGCCUUCGGGUUGUAAAGCACUUUCAGCGGGGAGGAAGGCGUUAAGGUUAAUAACCUUGGCGAUUGACGUUACCCGCAGAAGAAGCACCGGCUAACUCCGUGCCAGCAGCCGCGGUAAUACGGAGGGUGCAAGCGUUAAUCGGAAUUACUGGGCGUAAAGCGCACGCAGGCGGUCUGUCAAGUCGGAUGUGAAAUCCCCGGGCUCAACCUGGGAACUGCAUUCGAAACUGGCAGGCUAGAGUCUUGUAGAGGGGGGUAGAAUUCCAGGUGUAGCGGUGAAAUGCGUAGAGAUCUGGAGGAAUACCGGUGGCGAAGGCGGCCCCCUGGACGAAGACUGACGCUCAGGUGCGAAAGCGUGGGGAGCAAACAGGAUUAGAUACCCUGGUAGUCCACGCCGUAAACGAUGUCGACUUGGAGGUUGUGCCCUUGAGGCGUGGCUUCCGGAGCUAACGCGUUAAAUCGACCGCCUGGGGAGUACGGCCGCAAGGUUAAAACUCAAAUGAAUUGACGGGGGCCCGCACAAGCGGUGGAGCAUGUGGUUUAAUUCGAUGCAACGCGAAGAACCUUACCUGGUCUUGACAUCCACAGAACUUUCCAGAGAUGGAUUGGUGCCUUCGGGAACUGUGAGACAGGUGCUGCAUGGCUGUCGUCAGCUCGUGUUGUGAAAUGUUGGGUUAAGUCCCGCAACGAGCGCAACCCUUAUCCUUUGUUGCCAGCGGUCCGGCCGGGAACUCAAAGGAGACUGCCAGUGAUAAACUGGAGGAAGGUGGGGAUGACGUCAAGUCAUCAUGGCCCUUACGACCAGGGCUACACACGUGCUACAAUGGCAUAUACAAAGAGAAGCGACCUCGCGAGAGCAAGCGGACCUCAUAAAGUAUGUCGUAGUCCGGAUUGGAGUCUGCAACUCGACUCCAUGAAGUCGGAAUCGCUAGUAAUCGUAGAUCAGAAUGCUACGGUGAAUACGUUCCCGGGCCUUGUACACACCGCCCGUCACACCAUGGGAGUGGGUUGCAAAAGAAGUAGGUAGCUUAACCUUCGGGAGGGCGCUUACCACUUUGUGAUUCAUGACUGGGGUG
rnacentral:rRNA from 1 species